AAGGAAAUUCGGGUUUGUCAGAGUGAUGCCCGGUGCAACACACAAAAGGAGCCCACAGGCUACUGCCUCAAUCGCCCUCGCUUUCACACCAAGGGUUUUGGACCGCGGGGACAGGAACCCCUUGGUCGGCUGAU